UGAUGAUGGUGAGGGAAAUUUUAGAGCAUACCCUUAAAUCUCUCCUAAGCUUGGUAGAGAUUCUCUCCUUCUUUCUAUCUGAAACUCAGAAUCUCACUUCUCAAACG
rfam:Capsicum annuum cultivar Zunla-1 chromosome 5, whole genome shotgun sequence